ensembl:lincRNA
GCCAAAGUGGGCGGAUCACCUGAGCUCAGGAGUUGGAGACCAGCCUGGCCAACAUGGUAAAACCCUGUCUCUACUAAACAGACAAAAAAUUUGUUGGGCAUGGCGGUGCAUGCCUAUAAUCCCAGCUACUCGGGAGGCUGAGGCAGGAGAACAGCUUGAACCCAGGAGGUGGAGGUUGCAGUGAGCCAGGAUCCCACCACUGCACUCCAGCCUGGGUGAUAGAGCGAGACUCCAUCUCAAAAAAAAGAAAAAAGAAAAAAAGAACUCCAGCAAAUAGAGAUUAAACAAGUAGAAGCAGAUAGAGAUUAAAGAAACAGAGCUGCUGGGGAUCAGAGGUGGAUGUGUGUGUGUGUUUUAUGGGAGGGGCUGUGGGUUAGUCCCCUGCCCUGCCCUCCUCACCUGGUCCAUCUUGUGGGCAUCCCCUAGGUGAGGCCAGAGGAGCUCCGUGCUGCUAGGAGAUCCAGGCAGAAACCUCCAGGAUUGGAAGCUCAGCCCAGCGGCUGGGAGGCUGUGGCACCUCCUGUCCACAUGGCAGGCCAGGCCGAGGUGGGCUGGCUACACAGUGGGGCUCCCCCCUCUCUGAUAAGCUAUGGAGCAAAGACUGCUUAUGUCACCCACAACUGUGCUGUCGUCUUAUUUUUGAACACACUGCUGACCUAUGUUUUCCAGCCUUCCUGGCUCCUUUGAUGGAGAUUUCUGACCAAGUUUUGACCAAAAGAAUGUGAUCAUGUAUCUCUUCUAGGCCUGGCCCAUAAAAACCUCCUAUGCAUGAUCCUUGUCUUGCCACCCGCCUAAUAAAUGGAAGAACUCAGAGGACUCUUCCUUCUGUCUCUGAGAACUCUGUGAAGC